rnacentral:rRNA from 1 species
AUUGAACGCUGGCGGCAGGCCUAACACAUGCAAGUCGAACGAGUGGCGGACGGGUGAGUAAUGUCUGGGAAACUGCCUGCUGGAGGGGGAUAACUACUGGAAACGGUAGCUAAUACCGCAUACCAUCAGAUGUGCCCAGGUGGGAUUAGCUUGGUGGUGGGGUAACGGCUCACCAAGGGGACGAUCCAUAGCUGGUUUGCGAGGAUGACCAGCCACACUGUAACUGAGAAACUGUCCAGACUCCUAGGGGAGGCAGCUGGGGGGAAUAUUGCACAAUGGGCGCAAGCCUGAUGCAGCCAGGCCGCGUGUAUGAAUAAGGCCUUCGGGUUGUAAAGUACUUUCAGCGGGGAGGCGUUACCCGCAGAAGAAGCACCGGCUAACUCCGUGCCAGCAGCCGCGGUAAUUC